rnacentral:rRNA from 1 species
GUGCCAGCAGCCGCGGUAAUACGGAGGGUGCAAGCGUUGUCCGGAAUCAUUGGGUGUAAAGGGUGUGUAGGCGGGAGCCUAAGUCUGUGGUGAAAUCUUGCCGCUUAACGGUAAAAUUGCCAUGGAUACUGGAUACCUUGAAUCUGACAGAGGUCGGUGGAAUUCGUAGUGUAGCGGUGAAAUGCAUAGAUAUUACGAAGAACAUCAGUGGCGAAGGCGGCCGGCUGGGUCAGUAUUGACGCUGAGGCACGAGAGCGUGGGGAGCGAACAGGAUUAGAAACCCCAGUAGUCC